rnacentral:lncRNA from 1 species
CGCUGGGAUCAUCCCUGGCAUUUGAGGAAGUAAAUCCUAUGAGGAGAGACUGAGCCAAAGCCACUGCAGGAUGCUUAUGGCCCUGUCUUGGGAUGUGGGAAAGCUGGAAUCAUGGCCUUGCUUCGAAUCAAGAGGAACGGGGAUUUGAGAACUGGGCUCUUGUUUCCAAGCGUUCAUUUCUGCACUGACAUUUGCAUUUUCAUGGACGAGUAAUUUGGAGGGAGAGUGCACACUAAAAAGGUAAGACUACAGAAUAGUGUCUGUUUAGUUUUGGGAAGGCUCUAGCCCGUGUUUAAGUGGAUGUUCCUUCUACGUAUUUCUAAGGGUAGAAUCUGAAUCCAUUGAAGAGCAGAUCUUUG